rnacentral:rRNA from 1 species
CCUACGGGAGGCAGCAGUGAGGAAUAUUGGUCAAUGGACGAGAGUCUGAACCAGCCAAGUAGCGUGAAGGAUGACUGCCCUAAGGGUUGUAAACUUCUUUUAUAUGGGAAUAAAAUGUUCCACGUGUGGGAUUUUGUAUGUACCAUAUGAAUAAGGAUCGGCUAACUCCGUGCCAGCAGCCGCGGUAAUACGGAGGAUCCGAGCGUUAUCCGGAUUUAUUGGGUUUAAAGGGAGCGUAGGUGGAUUGUUAAGUCAGUUGUGAAAGUUUGCGGCUCAACCGUAAAAUUGCAGUUGAAACUGGCAGUCUUGAGUAAAGUAGAGGUGGGCGGAAUUCGUGGUGUAGCGGUGAAAUGCUUAGAUAUCACGAAGAACUCCGAUUGCGAAGGCAGUUCACUGGACUGCAACUGACACUGAGGCUCGAAAGUGUGGGUAUCAAACAGGAUUAGAUACCCGGGUAGUC